AUUGAACGCUGGCGGCAUGCUUUACACAUGCAAGUCGAACGGCAGCGCGGGCUUCGGCCUGGCGGCGAGUGGCGAACGGGUGAGUAAUGCAUCGGAACGUGCCCAGUAGUGGGGGAUAGCCCAGCGAAAGCCGGAUUAAUACCGCAUACGACCUGAGAGUGAAAGCGGGGGACCGAAAGGCCUCGCGCUAUUGGAGCGGCCGAUGUCGGAUUAGCUAGUUGGUGGGGUAAAGGCUUACCAAGGCGACGAUCCGUAGCUGGUCUGAGAGGACGACCAGCCACACUGGGACUGAGACACGGCCCAGACUCCUACGGGAGGCAGCAGUGGGGAAUUUUGGACAAUGGGGGCAACCCUGAUCCAGCCAUGCCGCGUGCGGGAAGAAGGCCUUCGGGUUGUAAACCGCUUUUGUUCGGGAAGAAAUCCUCUGGGCUAAUACCCCGGGGGGAUGACGGUACCGGAAGAAUAAGCACCGGCUAACUACGUG
rnacentral:rRNA from 1 species